rnacentral:rRNA from 1 species
AUUGAACGCUGGCGGCAGGCCUAACACAUGCAAGUCGAACGAGUGGCGGACGGGUGAGUAAUGAUUGGGCAACUUACUGAUGGAGGGGGAUAACUACUGGAAACGGUUGCCAAUACCGUAUACCAUCAGAUGUGUCCAGGUGGGAGUAGCUUGUUGGGGGGGUAACGGCGCACCAAGACGACGAUCCCUAGCUGGCCUGAGAGGAUGACCAGCCACAAUGGAACUGAGACACGGUCCAGACUCACACGGGAGGCAGCAGUGGGGAAAAUUGGGCAAGGGGCGAAAGCCUGCUGCAGCACAGCCGAGUGUAUGAAGAAGGCCAUCGGAUUGUAAAGUGCUUUCAGCAGGGAGGCGUUACCCACAGAAGAAGCACAGGCUAACUACGUGCCAGCAGCCGCGGUAAUAC